rnacentral:lncRNA from 1 species
CAACCUGCAGUCAAACAGAUGGACGUAAACAAUGUUUUCCAAUUCUCCCAGAAAGGCCAACAGUGACAGGAUAAGCGACAGCCUCAGACCAGUGAGGGUGACGCGGUGAAUCUCGGUGACAGGGAAAGAUGGAAAGGGGGGGAUGGAUAUAUCAGAAAAGAAAGGAAAGGAAAGGGUUUAGGAAAUAGCUCUUGGGGAAGAAAGCCCGGAGCAUUCAAGUACUACAGAGCUAAUAGAGUUGGACACUUUGCCCUUCCAGAAUUGCUGGAAAAGAGCAACUGGCAUCAAAUCCCAGUUAACAUUUAUUGACUUUACACGGUGCUGCAUGUAUGCCUAAGGGAGUGCACCCUCUAAACACAUCGCUAGGGUGGGAACUAUAAUUAAACCCUGUUCCCGGGGUCCCGGGGGGGCUCAGUCGGUUAAGCGUCUGCCUUCUGCUCAGGUCGUGAUCCCGGGCGUCCUGGGAUUGAGCCCCGAAUCGGGCUCCCUGCUCAGUGGGGAAUCUGCUUCUCCCUCUCUGUCUCCCUCCGCCCCUCCUCCCACCUGUGUGCAUGUGCUCUCUCACAAAUGAACACAUGAAAUCAUUAAAAACCAAACCAAACCAAACCCUGUUUUCCUUAAUGAGGACAAAGAGGCAGAAGGGAUAAAGUAAGUUUUGAAAGUCAAGAGGUGAGAAAUUUGAAGAAUGACUACAGCAGACUUCUGAUUCUAAAACCAUCAGCCUACAUAGCCCAGCUGUCUGGGCCUCCAUGGUCACUGGACUCCCUCCCACCUGCCCGCUGCCCCAUCCUGGGAAUGCAGAGACUCCUCUUCCUUGGACCUCCUCUGAGUUCCCAAGGCUAGCCCUAAUCGAAGGAAUUGGAAUUGACUGAAGUUACAGGACUGAAAUAAUAUCAUCCUGGGUUUAAUAGGUGGAUACAAACAACGCUUUUUCAAUUCUCCGUGGAAAGAUCAAGUAAACAUUACUUCCUGGGUAAGUUAUAGCCUUGACUCCAGGAAGGGUGGUGCAGAGAAUCUUGUAACAGGGGGAAACGUGGUGUGAUAUCUUAGAAAAUAAAGAAGGGGGUGCCUGGCUGGCUCAGUCGGUGGAGCAUGGGAGUCUUACUCUUGGGGUUGUGAGUUUGAGCCCAAAGUUGGUAUAGAGAUUACUUAAAAUUUUU